rnacentral:lncRNA from 9 species
GUGCGGGUGUGUGUGUGUGUGUGUGUGUGUACGCGCGCGUACACACACACACACACACACACAACCGUGCACUCGAGCUGGGGACGAGGUGCACAGGCGAGAGAGUAACUGCCGUUGGUGGGGGGAGGCUGAGGCCCCUGCCAGUGUAGGGUAGUGCGCUGGGGGAGGGUUCACAGAGAGGCUGAGGGCCAAGGUUGUGGCUGCAGUGGAGGAUGAGGCCUCUGGAAAAGACUACUGGUUAAAGGAAGCUGCUCUUUAGAGGCCCAGCCACCUGGAGACGGCUCUUCGGAUGGGGGUGGGAGUGGGAUCCAAGCAGUUAGGAAAGUAUGCCUAGGGAGGGUGGAAUUGCCAAAGGGUAGAGCCUGGAGCCUGCCUGGGUUUUUAAACAUUCAUAGUUGGGGUGACAUCUUUGAGACAGCACCUUCCCAGGGAAAAAUAGCAGGAAGUCCCCAAAGACCCCAGGCACAAUGAUCUCAGAGCCAGCAGUCCAGGACGACCUAGGGGUGUGCAUCUGAGGAAAGGGCUGCAGAAAGUAGAGCCCCCACUGGUCCCUUCCCGGGCUCUUGGGGGGGGGGGCAGUGGCGGGGGUGUGCUCACUCUAAGCCCAGGCUGCUGCCAUUUGGGGGUGAGGUGGGGGAAGGUGUUGCCUUAGCUUGGCUGCUGGAAACCAUUGUUUGAAUCUGCACCCAGCGCUUCUCCAGCCAGGCUAAUUCUCCACGUGUCCAAUUUUCGUGUCUGAAAAAAAGCAGCAGCACAGAAACAAAACCAUAUGACAGGACUGGGCUGCAAACCUUGAAGAAUCAAGAGGGUGGGGGAGGUGGCGGCUGGGAAGGGGGAGGGGAAAUUUUGUGUGUGUGGGUGUGUGAGUGGUGGUGGCGGGGCGGCGCACAACUCAAAGUUUCGCCGAUUUUCUACCCGAUCUCACCUCCCGGCGUGCUCAUCUGAUGCGGUUCCAACUCCCUCAAACGAUUCCGCAGCCCCAGCGUUCGCAGGCCUGUGGAAUUACACUUGGGAGGCGAGGCGCUGCCGCGAGCGGCGACGCGCAAGAGCCGGGGAGUGCGGAAGCCCAGGCCCGCGGCGGCGAGACGCCCCGGUCAGCUCUGGCCCGCGCCCCCCCCACCACCACGGCUCCGGUCCCGAGCGGGAAGAGGCUGGACAGUGAGCUUCUCAAACUGCCAGGCUUUUUGAGAGCUAGCGGUGGCCGUGUGACUCAGUUCUGGUGCAGGAGAGGUAAAGCAGAAAUGUCUGGGAAGGGUUUCCCUUCCCCAAGAGAGGCCAAACCUUGAACAGAGAAGAAUGCGAAUCCCUCUGUCUCCUUCCUGUCUGGAACUCAAAGCCGGUGCCUGGAGGUGCGGCAGCCGUUUUGGGACUAUGAGGAUGAAACCUGCGUGCCGUGCGGGAAGGUAGGAAGGGUCUGGGUCUUGGGUGCCUGGAGCAGAGAGAUGCACGAGCCCUGGAUUCUGUAUGUUCCUCUGGACUUCUCUUCUAAGAGAAAGAUUCACCCCUUACUCAAGCCCCUGUUUGUCAGGAUUUCUGUUACUUGUAGCAUUCUUAUUUCAUUUACCUGGGCUCUGGUCCCAGCUCUACUCUGAUUCACUGUGUGGUCUGGGGAAAGUGACCUCACCUCUCUGGGCCUCUGUUUCCUCAUUUGGAGAAUGAAUAUCUGCGAGGACAUGCUUUAGAAAAUUCUAAAACAACUUUUUUUUUUUUUAAUGGCCACACCCAUGGCAUAUGGAAGUUCCCAGGCUGGGGACUGAACCGGAGCCACAGCUGUGGACUACACCACAGCUGCAGUAACACUGGCUCCUUUAAGCCACUGCGCUGGGCUGGGAAUCCAACCUGCACCUGUGCAGAGACGCUGCAGUCAGUUUCUUAACCCACUGUGCGUUUGGGGGAGUCCCAAUAACUAGCCUAUUUUGAUUGAUGAAUGUAGCUUUAUUAUUUAUUUAUUUAUUUUUUGGUCUUUCUAUCUUUUCUAAGGCCGCAACCUCGGCAUGUGGCGAUUCCCAGGCCAGGGGUUGAAUUGGAGCUACAGCUGCCGGCCUCCACCACAGCCAUAGCAACGCAGGAUCCGAGCCGUGUCUGCGACCUACCCCACAGCUCACAGCAACACCAGAUCCUGAACCCACUGAGCGAGGCCAGGGGUCGAACCCGCAACCUCAUGGUUCCUAGUUGGAUUCGUUAACCACUGAGCCACAAGGGGAACUCUGAAUGUAGCUUUAUAUCUUUUCCUGGUGUCUCGGCCUGUGUUUAGGCCUUAUCAUCUCAGACAGCCUGGGGUCUCCUGACACCCAGGUCUGCGCCGCUUUCUAAAUUUCGCACACUACCACACACCCCAUUAACCCAAAAUAUAGGAAGACUGCUUUGUUAUGCUUAAAAAUUGCUAAUGGUUCUUUUACCCACAGAGUAGAAUCCUGAGUUUUUUUUUUUUUUUUUUUUUUUUAAUUCUCUACAAAUGUCAAGGGGCGAAUAUACUACUGUGAUAACCAAGAUCCUAUGUAAUUGGCUCUAAAACAGAGAACUGAUCAACUGAAUAAAAAAGAUUCUAGAAAGAGAUUUAAAACACCACAAAUAAUUAAUCCAUGACCAAGCAACUGAAUCACAUUAUUUAAUAUUUAAUAAUUAUUUAAGAAGUCUUAUUACGAGUUAUCGGUAUAGAGAAGAACUGACUGCGAUGUUUAUCUCACGCCAGACCCUGACCUCGCCCAAAAUUCUGGAUGGACCGGAGUUAAAUAUAACAAAUAUGUAAACAACAUAACCAAAAACCUAGGCGAAAACAGAAGCAUAUUUGUAACAUCUACAGGACGGUGAAGUGGGCUUCACAGAAAAUGACAAGGACAAAAUGCUAUGUUUCAAUAUGAAAAUAAAGAAAUAAGAAAUAAAGAAUAAAAAGAAAGAAUUAAUUUUUGCACAAUAAAAGUGUGGGCUGGGAGUUCCCUGGUGGUUUAGUGGUUAGGAUUUGGCGCUUUCCCCUCUGUGGCCCGAGCUCAGUCCCUGGUCUGGGAACUGAGAUCCCAUAUGAAGCUGCUGCCACCAUAGCAAAAAAAAAAAAAAAAAAAAAGGGGGGGUGUCUGUUGGGCUCUGCAGUUUUACCCCCCUUUUUUUGUCUUUUUAGGGCCACUCCCAGGGCAUAUGGAGGUUCCCAGGCUAGGUGUCUAAUGGGAGCUAUAGCUGCGGGUCUACGCCGCAGCCACAGCAAUGCCAGAUCCUGAACCCACUGAGCGAGGCCAGGGAUCGAACCCCCAACCUCAUGGUUCCUAGUCGGAUUCGUUUCUGCUGCGCCCUGACGGGAACUCCAGGAGUUGGAUUUAGGUCAGCUCCACACAUCUCUCAUUCCAGGAUUCAGGCUGAAGCAGUGGAAGCAGGUACCUGGAAACCUGUUCUCACAGCGGCGGCGGGAGUGCAGGAGCCCAGGGCAAACGGAGCAAGCCCAUUUCAAACCUCUGAUUGUACCCCAUCGACCUACACGCCAUUGACCACAGCGAGUCACGUGGCCCAAUCGACAUCCGUGUGACCCGGAAGUACAUUCCUGCCGGGGAGGAGGGGGUGCCUGACGGGGUUGG